AAAUUGAAGAGUUUGAUCAUGGCUCAGAUUGAACGCUGGCGGCAGGCCUAACACAUGCAAGUCGAACGGUAGCACAGAGAGCUUGCUCUCGGGUGACGAGUGGCGGACGGGUGAGUAAUGUCUGGGAAACUGCCUGAUGGAGGGGGAUAACUACUGGAAACGGUAGCUAAUACCGCAUAACGUCGCAAGACCAAAGAGGGGGACCUUCGGGCCUCUUGCCAUCAGAUGUGCCCAGAUGGGAUUAGCUAGUAGGUGGGGUAACGGCUCACCUAGGCGACGAUCCCUAGCUGGUCUGAGAGGAUGACCAGCCACACUGGAACUGAGACACGGUCCAGACUCCUACGGGAGGCAGCAGUGGGGAAUAUUGCACAAUGGGCGCAAGCCUGAUGCAGCCAUGCCGCGUGUAUGAAGAAGGCCUUCGGGUUGUAAAGUACUUUCAGCGGGGAGGAAGGUGUUGUGGUUAAUAACCGCAGCAAUUGACGUUACCCGCAGAAGAAGCACCGGCUAACUCCGUGCCAGCAGCCGCGGUAAUACGGAGGGUGCAAGCGUUAAUCGGAAUUACUGGGCGUAAAGCGCACGCAGGCGGUCUGUCAAGUCGGAUGUGAAAUCCCCGGGCUCAACCUGGGAACUGCAUUCGAAACUGGCAGGCUAGAGUCUUGUAGAGGGGGGUAGAAUUCCAGGUGUAGCGGUGAAAUGCGUAGAGAUCUGGAGGAAUACCGGUGGCGAAGGCGGCCCCCUGGACAAAGACUGACGCUCAGGUGCGAAAGCGUGGGGAGCAAACAGGAUUAGAUACCCUGGUAGUCCACGCCGUAAACGAUGUCGACUUGGAGGUUGUGCCCUUGAGGUGUGGCUUCCGGAGCUAACGCGUUAAGUCGACCGCCUGGGGAGUACGGCCGCAAGGUUAAAACUCAAAUGAAUUGACGGGGGCCCGCACAAGCGGUGGAGCAUGUGGUUUAAUUCGAUGCAACGCGAAGAACCUUACCUACUCUUGACAUCCAGAGAACUUUCCAGAGAUGGAUUGGUGCCUUCGGGAACUCUGAGACAGGUGCUGCAUGGCUGUCGUCAGCUCGUGUUGUGAAAUGUUGGGUUAAGUCCCGCAACGAGCGCAACCCUUAUCCUUUGUUGCCAGCGGUCCGGCCGGGAACUCAAAGGAGACUGCCAGUGAUAAACUGGAGGAAGGUGGGGAUGACGUCAAGUCAUCAUGGCCCUUACGAGUAGGGCUACACACGUGCUACAAUGGCGCAUACAAAGAGAAGCGAACUCGCGAGAGCAAGCGGACCUCAUAAAGUGCGUCGUAGUCCGGAUUGGAGUCUGCAACUCGACUCCAUGAAGUCGGAAUCGCUAGUAAUCGUAGAUCAGAAUGCUACGGUGAAUACGUUCCCGGGCCUUGUACACACCGCCCGUCACACCAUGGGAGUGGGUUGCAAAAGAAGUAGGUAGCUUAACCUUCGGGAGGGCGCUUACCACUUUGUGAUUCAUGACUGGGGUGAAGUCGUAACAAGGUAACCGUAGGGGAACCUGCGGUUGGAUCACCUCCUUA
rnacentral:rRNA from 2 species